GUGAAAGUAGCCAUUGACAUUCUGUAAAAAUGGCUACCGCUUGUUCUGAAUUGGGGAGUCCCGAAAUGAGCAAGGAAAAAUGCGAAACGCACUCAGAAAAGACACAGGAAGAACAAAAAGACCCAGAAGGCGAGAAUGAUGAGCCGGGUAAUAGUACAGAUGCAACGCUUGAAAACGCGAAAUGCAGGAAAGUAGAUGACGGGGACGUGAAAUCUGCAGAUGAGGCCGUAGCUGCGGAAGCCGUAGUGGUGACAGCGGCAACGGUCUCAGCAGGGGACGAAGAUGCAGAGCAAGAGGUCUUGGGAUGCGAACUUUCGAAAUCUGAGGAAAAUAGUCCCGCCCUGGAAGAACAAACUGUCCUGGCAGACGGUGAAGAUACUAGUGAGACGGUUGUGGACGAUGGGGUAAAAGAAAUAAAGCCGGAGCCGAGGGAGGAGAGCCAAUCGCCCGUUACAGUUUUGAGUGACUGUCUGGUGAAAAGCAAAGGCACCACCAGUGACGAUGCCCCGGAGCCUACCGAGGAGAAAACGAGCACCGGAGGCGGGGACCGCGGUGAGCUAGCGGUGACGGAUAAGAGGAGGGCUAGCGUUGAGAUGUCAUCCUCGGACGGAGAACCGCUCAGCCGCAUGGAUUCAGAGGACAGUGUCAGCAGCACCCUGAUGGAUAUGGAGAGUACAGUGUCCAGCGGACGCUCCACCCCGGCCAUGAUGAACGGCCAGGGCAGCGCCUCCCAGUGCCACCCUGGCGCCAAGGGCCCAGCGGCGGGCUACGGCUGCUCCUGGGACCAGUGUGGUCUCUGCUUCACCUGCAGCCCGGACCUGGCUGAGCACAUCAGGGGUGUACAUGUCGACGGACAGAGAGGAGGGGUCUUUGUGUGUCUGUGGCAGGGCUGCAAGGUGUACAACACCCCGUCGACCAGUCACAGCUGGCUGCAGAGGCACAUGCUGACCCACAGCGGAGACAAACCCUUCAAGUGUGUUGUGGGGGGGUGCAGUGCCAGCUUUGCCUCCCAGGGGGGGCUGGCGCGCCACGUUCCCACCCACUUCAGUCAGCAGAGCUCCUCCAAGCUUUCCAGCCAGGCCAGACUGAAGGAGGAGUCUCCAAACAAGGCGGGGCUUAAUAAGAGGAAGAAGCGAACACAGUUGAACAAACGCAGACGAUCUCUACUGUCUCCUCUCCCACCAGCGAGACCACAUGACUUCUUUGACGCCCAGACCAUGGACGCCAUCAGACACCGGGCCAUCUGCCUGAACCUGGCCACUCACAUGGAGAGCACUGGCAGCGGGCACAGCGUGGUGUUUCACAGCACGGUGACAGCCAGGAGGAAAGAGGGAUCUGGGAAGGUUAAGGUUCUGCUCCACUGGACUCCUGAGGACAUCCUGCCUGAUGUGUGGGUGAAUGAGACGGAGCGCUGUCAGCUGAAGACUAAAGUGGUUCAUUUAUCCCAGCUUCCGCAGGACACAGCCGUGCUUUUGGACCCCAACAUCUACAGGUUUGUGUGUGUGUGUGUCCAAUCUGUUUAUCUAUUCUUUGUCUAUUCUUUGGCCUGGGCAUUUUAAAGAUCUCAGUUUGUCAUUAUCUUAGUAUCCAUUAACUUUGGUAGUUUGUAUUUUAAACGGAUCUGCUAACUUGUUUUGUACAUGUAGGUUUUGACAUUUAGAAAUGACAACACUUGGGAAGACAUCUGUUGUAACCUGGUUAACUUGUCUUCAUUGAUGACAACUGUUAUUUGUAGUUUUGUCUGCUAGUAAAACCAAAGUGAUGAUUAAAGUCUCUUUUAAAUAACUUUCUAAUCUACCUUCUGAAUGGUGAUGAUCUUUCUGGGCCCUGUGUCAGUUAAACUGCCUCGUAGUUUCCAGACUGGAGGUGCAGAGACCAUGUCCUUCCAGACAAGAACACUGGCUCCUUGGUUUUACCGGGCUUGGAGACCAUCAUGGAAAUGCAGGAAGCAUUGCAAUAUUAUUCCUUCCUAUGUAGUGAGAAUAGUUUGAUUAAUAGUCUGAAUAACCAGUGAUUAACAUUUGUCUUCAGACAUGUUGUUCUUCCACAUCGCUUUGCAACUACUAUAUAUUUUUUCUACCGACUGGGAGAAUUUCCCUCCUGAAGGUACCUGAAGGUCUUUCUUUGAUAGAUAUAUUCUUCUUUCUAUGGAGUCCCUCUAAUAUCAUCCACUAUAUCCAUAUCACCAUGGCCCAUUUCAGGGAAACUCUAUCCUUCAAUAAGGUUAGGCCAGGUUGAUGGGCCAUGAAGUCAUAGAGAGACUGAAGAUGAAUACUCAAACAAGAACGAUGUGCCUGAAAUGAUGAGGUGUCACCAUACAGGUGAAACGAUGCAUGCUGUUGUGCAGGCCAGGGCUGGAUGAUUUUAAUGUGGGAGGGUCCAGUGCUGGAUAAUUUGUAAUGGGGGAGGGGCCAGGGAUGGAGGAUUUUAAUGUGGGAGGGUCCAGUGCUGGAUAAUUUGUAACGGGGGAGGGGCCAGGGAUGGAGGAUUUUAAUGUGGGGGUGGCAGGGCUGGAUUAUUUUAAAGAGGGAGGGGCCAGGGCUGGAUGGUUUUAAUGAAGGAGGGCCAGGGCUGGAUGAUUUUAAUGAGGGAGGGGCCAGGGAUGGAUAAUUUGUAAUGGGGGAGGAGCCAGGGAUGGAUGAUUUUAAUGUGGGAGGGUCCAGUGCUGGAUAAUUUGUAAUGGGGGAGGGGCCAGGGAUGGAGGAUUUUAAUGUGGGAGGGUCCAGUGCUGGAUAAUUUGUAACGGGGGAGGGGCCAGGGAUGGAGGAUUUUAAUGUGGGGGUGGCAGGGCUGGAUUAUUUUAAAGAGGGAGGGGCCAGGGCUGGAUGAUUUUAAUGAGGGAGGGGCCAGGGCUGGAUGAUUUCAAUGAGGGAGGGGCCAGGGUUGGAUGACUAUAAUGAGGGAGGGGCCAGGGCUGGAUUACUUUAAUGAGGGAGGGGCCAGGGCUUGGUGAUGUGGCAGAGCUUCUGUACACACACUCUCAACUGUACACACACACACACACUUUACCGACCUAUACCAAACUUUCACACACAGCCUUUGUUAUGUCCCCUCAGAGCACUACCCCAGAAGAGGCUGAAGCGAAGUCUCUAAAGGGGUCCUUCCCAGACAGAUCACUACAGAAAGAAAGAACCCUGUUUCUUUGGAGGGGAGCCCCUUCAUCUGUCGUUCCCUGAAAGGAAGGGAGAAGGAGGCGGGACUCUGUACAGUGGAGAUAUGCUAAAUCCUAUUUUGCUCCACUUCUCCUUUUUCCGGAAGAAUGUUCAUAUAUGUAUUUUAACUGAAGCACUGCAUCAGUCUGCAGUGACAAGUGGGUUAACCAUUUAAAUGUUAUUUUCAAAAACGUUUAUGUUUUUAUACUGUAAGUACUAAACUUGAAAAGGUAAAUGUGUAGGGGAUUUUGACUGUAUUACGUAAUACAAAUAUUAUUACUACUUAAGUGUAAAUGUUGGGUAGCAACAUACAACUGGGUAUUGCAAUUGUCGUAUUAUUGUGUAGAAACAGCUUUUCUUUGUAGAACAUUGUCUUGUAAAUAUUUUUUUGCAGAUUUGUAACUUAUUUUUAUACCACAGAAAAACAAAUAGUGUAGUUUAUCGUGAAUGUAUUUUAUUUGUAAACAUAAAUGUGUAAUUAUACAGUAGCUAUAGUGUCAAGGCGGUCACAUUGAAAUUAUUUAGUUAUGGCUGAAAGCCAUGAGGCAUGAGGGGGUCUGGAAUAUGGCCAAUAUACCACAGCUUUUAGCCGUGAUAUAUUAGCCAUAUUCCACUGCAGUUGCAGCUUAUUGCUUUAAAAUAAUGACAAAUAAAAAAGGGGUGACGUGUUCUCCUCAUCAUCAUCCAUGUUUCAUUCUUUUAAGCCUUAAAUGUAAAACAAAGUUUUAUGAUAUGAAUUGGUCAAAGUAGAUGAUGCUGAUAUUGCUGACUAUUCUACAGGCAUUGUCUCACAGCCUCAUGGCAUUCCUCGCUGUUUCUCAGUAAGUUGUGUUUCCACAUGACCGCCAUACAGCUCACCUGAUCAACCUCGAUAGAAACACAUGACCUCUAGCGCCAGGGGACUUGGUUCCGUUUGACCCCCUGACUGAAGCAGUGUUAAAUAGAGCCCUGGAUCUGAAGGCUAAUUCGUGGGAGUGCUAAUUCCUUACUUGUGUUAUUGUAAUAGGUGUUUUUUCAUGCCUGCAUCCCAAAUGGCACCCUAUUCCCUACACAGCACAGUGGUACUGGCAGUAUGCAGCAUUUGCAAGUAGUGGAUAAUGUAAGGAAGGGAGUGUUGUUUGGGAUGCGGCGUGCGCGUGCGUGUGUGAGUAUAAUGCAUUCUCAUGAGCUCUUGUUGUCUUUUUCUCUUUAUGUAGUUACUGUUGUGAGGGCUUUACAUCUGUGAUAUGAUGCAAUAAAAACUAGACAAAAAAAUGGUC